rnacentral:rRNA from 1 species
GAUGAACGCUGACAGAAUGCUUAACACAUGCAAGUCGAUGGGGAAGUGGUGCUUGCACCAUGGUAACCAUGGCGGACGGGUGAGUAACGCGUAAGGAACUUGCCUGCGGGACUGGGAUAACAGCAGGAAACUGCUGAUAAUACCGGAUAAGGUCAUUAAGCUGCAUAGCUUAGUGAUGAAAGGAGACGCCUGCGGAGAGCCUUGCGUCCUAUUAGCUAGUUGGAGGGGCAACGGCCCACCAAGGCGAAGAUAGGUAGCCGGCCUGAGAGGGUGGACGGCCACAAGGGGACUGAGAUACGGCCCUUACUCCUACGGGAGGCAGCAGUGGGGAAUAUUGGACAAUGGGGGCAACCCUGAUCCAGCAAUUCUGUGUGCACGAAGACGGUUUUCGGAUUGUAAAGUGCUUUCAGCAGGGAAGAAGGAAGUGACGGUACCUGCAGAAGAAGCGACGGCUAAAUACGUG